rnacentral:rRNA from 1 species
UACGUAGGGUGCAAGCGUUAAUCGGAAUUACUGGGCGUAAAGCGUGCGCAGGCGGUUAUGUAAGACAGAUGUGAAAUCCCCGGGCUUAACCUGGGAACUGCAUUUGUGACUGCAUGGCUAGAGUUUGGCAGAGGGGGGUAGAAUUCCACGUGUAGCAGUGAAAUGCGUAGAUAUGUGGAGGAAUACCGAUGGCGAAGGCAGCCCCCUGGGUCAAGACUGACGCUCAUGCACGAAAGCGUGGGGAGCAAACAGG